GGCGACGUAUCGGAUUACUGGGCGUAAGCGCACGCAGGCGGUUAAUUAAGUUAGAUGUGAAAUCCCCGGGCUUAACCUGGGAAUGGCAUCUAAGACUGGUUAGCUAGAGUCUUGUAGAGGGGGGUAGAAUUCCAUGUGUAGCGGUGAAAUGCGUAGAGAUGUGGAGGAAUACCGGUGGCGAAGGCGGCCCCCUGGACAAAGACUGACGCUCAGGUGCGAAAGCGUGGGGAGCAAACAGGAUUAGAUACCCUGGUAGUCCACGCUGUAAACGAUGUCGAUUUGGAGGUUGUUCCCUAGAGGAGUGGCUUCCGGAGCUAACGCGUUAAAUCGACCGCCUGGGGAGUACGGCCGCAAGGUUAAAACUCAAAUGAAUUGACGGGGGCCCGCACAAGCGGUGGAGCAUGUGGUUUAAUUCGAUGCAACGCGAAGAACCUUACCUACUCUUGACAUCCAGAGAAUUUGGCAGAGAUGCUUAAGUGCCUUCGGGAACUCUGAGACAGGUGCUGCAUGGCUGUCGUCAGCUCGUGUUGUGAAAUGUUGGGUUAAGUCCCGCAACGAGCGCAACCCUUAUCCUUUGUUGCCAGCGAUUCGGUCGGGAACUCAAAGGAGACUGCCGGUGAUAAACCGGAGGAAGGUGGGGGAUGACGUCAAGUCAUCAUGGCCCUUACGAGUAGGGCUACACACGUGCUACAAUGGCGUAUACAAAGAGAAGCGACCUCGCGAGAGCAAGCGGAACUCAUAAAGUACGUCGUAGUCCGGGAUUGGAGUCUGCAACUCGACUCCAUGAAGUCGGAAUCGCUAGUAAUCGUAGAUCAGAAUGCUACGGUGAAUACGUUCCCGGGCCUUGUACACACCGCCCGUCACCCAUGGGGGAGUGGGUUGCAAAAGAAGUAGGUAGCUUAACCUUCCGGGAGGGCGCUUACCACUUUGUGAUCAUGACUGGGGUGAUCAGAAAAAAAACCCCGGGGCAAAAAAAAAAAAAAGGGGGAAGAUAUU
rnacentral:rRNA from 1 species